GUCGAGCGGACCGACGGGAGCUUGCUCCCUUAGGUCAGCGGCGGACGGGUGAGUAACACGUGGGUAACCUGCCUGUAAGACUGGGAUAACUCCGGGAAACCGGGGCUAAUACCGGAUGCUUGAUUGAACCGCAUGGUUCAAUCAUAAAAGGUGGCUUUUAACUACCACUUACAGAUGGACCCGCGGCGCAUUNNCUAGUUGGUGAGGUAACGGCUCACCAAGGCGACGNUGCGUAACCCACCUGNANGGGUGAUCGGCCACACUGGGACUGAAACACGGCCC
rnacentral:rRNA from 1 species